UCAGAUUGAACGCUGGCGGAUGCUUACACAUGCAAGUCGAGCGGCAGGCGCGGGGGCGAACCCUGGCGGCGAGCGGCGAACGGUGAGUAACAUAUCGGAACGUACCCCGUCGUGGGGGAUAACACAGCGAAAGCUGUGCUAAUACCGCAUACGACCUGAGGGUGAAAGCGGGGGAUCGCAAGACCUCGCGCGAUGGGAGCGGCCGAUAUCGGAUUAGCUUGUUGGUGAGGUAAAGGCUCACCAAGGCGACGAUCCGUAGCUGGUCUGAGAGGACGACCAGCCACACUGGAACUGAGACACGGUCCAGACUCCUACGGGAGGCAGCAGUGGGAAUUUUGGACAAUGGGCGAAAGCCUGAUCCAGCCAUGCCGCGUGAGUGAAGAAGGCCUUCGGGUUGUAAAGCUCUUUCGGUGGGGAAGAAAUUGCAUAGGCUAAUACCCUAUGUAGAUGACGGUACCUGGAGAAGAAGCACCGGCUAACUACGUG
rnacentral:rRNA from 1 species